ACCAUCUCAGUUCGGAUUGUAGUCUGCAACUCGACUACAUGAAGCUGGAAUCGCUAGUAAUCGCAGAUCAGAAUGCUGCGGUGAAUACGUUCCCGGGUCUUGUACACACCGCCCGUCACACCAUGGGAGUCGGAAAUGCCCGAAGUCAGUGACCUAACCGAAAGGGAGGAGCUGCCGAAGGUGGAGCCGGUAACUGGGGUGAAGUCGUAACAAGGUACC
rnacentral:rRNA from 1 species